AACGAACGCUGGCGGCAUGCCUAACACAUGCAAGUCGAACGAGACCUUCGGGUCUAGUGGCGCACGGGGGCGUAACGCGUGGGAACCUGCCCGUAGGUUCGGAAUAACUCCCCGAGAGGUGUGCUAAUACCGGAUAAUGUCUUCGGACCAAAGAUUUAUCGCCGUUGGAUGGGCCCGCGUUGGAUUAGCUAGUUGGUAGGGUAAAAGCCUACCAAGGCGACGAUCCAUAGCUGGUCUGAGAGGAUGCUCAGCCACACUGGGACUGAGACACGGCCCAGACUCCUACGGGAGGCAGCAGUGGGGAAUACUGGACACUGGGCGAAAGCGUGAUACAGCAAUGCCGCGUGAGUGAUGAAGGCCUUAGGGUUGUACAGCUCUUUUACCCGGGAUGAUAAUGACAGUACCGGGAGAAUAAGCUCCGGCUAACUCCGUG
rnacentral:rRNA from 1 species